CACCUCCUCACCUGUGCUCAUCUACAUUGUCUUUUGUCUUUUCGGUUUUGUCUUUGCGGCUGUGUGUGGUUUUUGUGUGUUCGUUUGUUUUAUCCAUGGAGGCAGACGGUUCCCAGACGGCACCUUCAACGUUGUAAAUAUACUAGCUCCCUUGGUAUAGUGGAACGAGUUUUCACAGUGCUACGGCGAUAAAUAAAACUUAAAGCACCCGUUGAAUCUCUCCGCCUCAUUAUUCGGCACCAAGGGUCCGCUACAGUGAAAACUCGACCAUCACGUCCGAGCCAGUCUCCUUCGUCAUCUGACGUCAGCAACCGAUGCAGCAGCCUACAACUUUGGCAAUGGACAAUAUCAGUAAAGCAACAGUGCCCAACUUUUAAGGUACAGCCAAAAAUGCAGUGAGAGACAUUGGACUGAAACAAUAAAGAAAAUGGAGCAACGCACUGCAUGUCGCCUUUUGAGUUGAAUAUUGAGAAAUAAACCUAUAGUUACUUAGCAAGGGUUUAAGAGUUGAAUGUCUGAUAAAUGUUAUCCUUGAAUGGUACAUUUACAAUGUCUUCUUAAAUGAAAAGG